ensembl:lncRNA
UAACAAUAUUGUCAGUACCCACUGGAGGGGCCCUGGGCAAGUUGCUUUUCUUUUUAAAUUACAGGAAAAUGGGAAGGGCUGUUGUUGAAACUACAAUCAGUUGAGAGGUUGGAAGAGCCUAGUGAUUCCAAAUGCAGAAUCAAAAGGAGGCUCUGCUCUGCUAUUUAGAAGUGUGUUUCAAUCUGCUAGCCCAUCUAGCACACUUUCCCAUCUACAGUCUGCAAAUGGUCAAGUCCUUCCAUGCUCCAAGAAGACCAACUUGGAGGAAGCAGGAGUUGUACAGUGGAAGAAAAAUUAGUAGCACAUCAAACCCAGGAUUUCAUUGAUAUCAUCCCUGUGACAAGGCAAAAGUUUUUAAAAAGUGAGUCAACUUGAGGAUAAGAUACAAAAUCAUAAUAAGGUGACAGAAAUCAGUGAUUGAUGGCCACAGAAGGACACGUUGUCAAGCCCCCUUGAUUUCUAUCUGAAGAGAGUUGACUCCCUGGGCUUGGAAUGAUGGCUUCGGCAGCAUGGUCGGCACCAGAAAGAAGCCGCUUUGCAGCUGGGAACUUGCCCUGCCUUCCAAGAAGUUUCUCCCUAAAAGCUUCUCCCUAAAAGCAACACACAUCGAAAGUCCCAGACACAUGCUAGAGCAAGAAUUCAAAGAACUUCAGACCAGUGGCCCGCCUAGUCGUGGUUGUUACCCUGGGAGGAGGAAACCAAGUCCACUGUAAAGUGAGAAUUUUUUAAAUUUCUAAAGACAAAAGAUGGUGGUUCCAAAGUAGAUCCACUAAGACCUCAAUAACAAAAUACAAUUCGUUGGGACUCUGCAUGAGCUCAAAGACAGACAAAGGAGGACUCACUUUUGGUCAGCACCAACGCAAUGCAUCAGGUGCUGUGUUAAGUAUCAUACAUACAUCAUCUCAUUUAAAAUAACUCAACAAAGUAGAAACCAAUAAUAGCACCAUUUGAUAAGUGAAGCAAUGAGUUUCAGAGCUGUUAAGAGACUUUCCCAAGAUCAAAAAGCCAGAACAUGCUAAGGCGGGGUUAGAAACCCAGACUCUUCUCUUUGCCAGAUAUUUGUGUAAUUAUUCCUGGGAUGCCUGGUUGCCCCAUGCAACUGUGACCUCUAGGAGGCCAGCAUGGAAAACACACAUGCACUGGAUGGUUCCAGUGCUCCCUGGACCACCCAUCCCAGAAAGCAGUCAGCCUCCUGCUUCCCAGGCUUUUCUCCCCCUCUUUCUAUCAACUUGUUCCCAAUUUAAUUGAGAAGCCAAUAGCUGCUACCCUCUCCUGGCUCCAUUAGCAGCAAUCUACCCUCAAAGGCCAGGAUCUAUACCACACGAUCCAGUCUCACACUAAUCAAGAUCACUGAGCCAGGGACAGACCCGGAACUCAAGACCAGCCUAUCCAAAGGCUGACAUAUCACUCUGAUGUGCUUUGUUUAAAAAAUGUAAAUAUUCUGAUACUUGUUAAAACAGGAAGACUUUAUUCUAGACUAUUGUAGUAGGGAAGAGAGAUCCGGAUCAACCUUGAAAACAGCAAAAACAGGGAUUCUCCACAAAGCAGAACAAUGAGGGGCCCUGGAAGGAAAAUAACUAAAAGGAGACACCGAGGAUAGGAUUGAUUUUCCUAGAGAAGCAUACACGGCUGGUUUUCCUGAUACAAACUCAGCUGUUCUCAUUGUCAGGGGAGAGCAGGUCCUCACUGUCACCAAGGACGGCUGCUGCUCUCUUUGGGGGAGCUCUGGUCUUCCCUUUGAGUGUUGUUUCCUGGCUCCAGUGCAGAUCCCUGAGCCUGAUGGCAUAGCCCCUUCACCCCACAGGCUCAGACUUUCUAGCUUCCACCACUGGCCUUUGAGCCUUCCUGGAGCCGAUCCUUGAAAGGGACUUGCAUGAGACAUCGCCGUGGGAUCCAGGCCCUCAGCUGGAUUCUUUGGGUCUCUAACAUGUGGACAGAUCUCUUGCACUCUUUUGCAUUUGACUUUCUGGGUGAAUAUUAUAAAAUGAUCAUGUAUUAAUAAUCCUGUGUCCUGUAUUAAAUCUAUUCCCUUGCAAAACCUGACUACAACACACAGAAACUCAAAGAAGAAAGGCACAUCUCGCUGGAGGUGGAGGGAAGAAUAGAUUCACAAGAGUAACACUGAGUUCUCAGAAUUCCCAAUCCCCACAUACCUAAAGACUCACAUUCCCUGCUAUGCAGUGCUCCCAGGCUCACUUUCUCCCAGCACAAAGUCAAAGACAAUUAAAAUCUUUUCCUUUCUAAGAUGCUGCUGUUCUGUGUCACCAAGAGUAUAGCUCAGAGAUCAAAGGAGAGUUCUAACUUCCCUUUUUACUUGCCCCCAAUCAGAAUGUUGGCCCUCAUUCAUUCAACAAGCAUCUGCUGAUCCUUUAUCAUGUGCCAAACACAGUAAUACAUAUUCGGAAUACAGAAACAAAUGGAAAACUGGCUAGCAAAAGUUUGAGAGUAGGCAAUCAAUCACGUGUACACUUAUGCUUGUAAGAUGCACACAGUUUAAGAAUUACAAUUAUUUGUUCUACUUUAUAGCUUCCCAUAAAGCUUUUCUCAUGUCACUGAGGACUUCUGCUUAUUGUAUUUAACAAUUAAAAUGUUUAAAAUUAAAGUAACCAUUUGGAGAAAAGAGUUAUUUUCACCUAAGCUUAAAAUCAAACACUCCCAGGGUCCUCUUAUCUACAACCCACCCUUGGUGGGGGGGCUAGGAGGCCUCCCUCGUUCACCCAGGAAACCAGCAGGAGCCUUCAUUCUGAACAUAAAUGCACCAUGUUCUCAGGUAUCCAAAUUGGCUUUUCUGUGGUGGCAUCACAAGAGAUGAAGGAUGGAAGACCCUGCUGGUUGUAUCCAAGAUGCUGACUUCUGUCCCUCACAUUCCAUAGUGACCGCAGAGACUCUGGGGAGUGUGAGUGCUAGAAAUGGUAACCUGGUCUUUACUUACUCAUACAAGCCAAGGGAGAAAUCCACACACACUCGAGUGUCUCUCAGCUUCCCAGUCUUAAACACAGGUGCACAGCUCUGGCUCAUUCUCCAAAUGCCCUCCAGUUCCCAUGUCGGGGAGUACCCUGACCUGGCAUCCUCAGCCACCUGCUCCAGGCCCACCCGGCCUCUGCUUCCCCCCCACAAUGGACUUGAAUUCAGCCGCCAGCCUUCACUGUUGCUCCCUGUCUGUGGAAGAAGCUGCACUGUAAAAACACCCACUUCGACUCUGCCAACCAUAUCUCCUCCCAUUUCUCUUCCCAACCCCCACAUCCCUCUCUUUCUAAUUACCCCAAAGAGAAAGAAGAUUAAAAACUAAUGCCCUGAGGAUGGGAGUCAGAGACGUCAUUAUUUUGAUUCAAACCCCAGGCAUGGAGAAGCUGAUCUGAGAUUUAGAAGCACCGUAACCUAGGAUGGGUUUUGGAAAACCUUGAUUAAUUGGUCCUCACCUCUAGGCAACCAGUCCCCGGCCCCUUCCCUGGUGCUGUGUGGUAGGGCUUUAAGGAUGAAUGCCACACAGUGUAACACAUGAAACGCAUAAAACACAUUCCAGUAAAAAUGCAACUUGCAAGGGAUGACUUAGAUUCCCACAAAAGGCUCAGCCUAAUUCCUACAUGCCAGAGUCCUGUGAAUUUUAAUUUACUGUGCAGAAUGAUGAGGUCAAGGUGGCUCCUACAGGGAAGCCACAUAAAGAAAGAUCUGGAGACUUUCAUCAACUGAACUUCUGAAGCAGAAAAGCAGACUUCCUUUCAGGAAUAUGUGCAGUAACAGAAGUUUUAGCCAGAAGGAAUUUUAAUGUGACUUUCAGUUAACUAAAAAAAGUAGACCCAAAUGAACCACCAGCAGCCCCUCAGCCCCAUUUUACUCCCCAGAUAUGCCACUUAUAAGGAAUCUUCCCAGUAAAGAAAGGGGAAUAUAUGAUGAAAAAUAACAUAGAUAUCACUUCAUAUUUAAUUGUACACUAAGUGUUGUUUAAAAUACUUCAGGUGCAUAAUACCUCAUAAUCCUCACUAAAGGUUUGGUCAUUAGCUUCCUAAUUUACACCAUGAACAUGCA